rnacentral:rRNA from 1 species
AUACGUAGGGAGCGAGCGUUGUCCGGAAUGAUUGGGCGUAAAGGGCGCGUAGGCGGCCCGGUAAGUCUGGAGUGAAAGUCCUGUUUUUAAGAUGGGAAUUGCUUUGGAUACUGUCGCGCUUGAGUGCAGGAGAGGUUAUCGGAAUUCCCGGUGUAGCGGUGAAAUGCGUAGAGAUCGGGAGGAACACCAGUGGCGAAGGCGGGUAACUGGACUGCAACUGACGCUGAGGCGCGAAAGUGUGGGGAGCAAACAGGAUUAGAUACCCUGGUAGUCCACACUGUAAACGAUGAAUGCUAGGUGUAAGAGGUAUCGACCCCUUUUGUGCCGGAGUCAACACAAUAAGCAUUCCGCCUGGGGAGUACGGCCGCAAGGUUGAAACUUAAAGGAAUUGACGGGG